UGGUGUGAGAGGUUGAAGCUGCCAGCAUGAUCUGGUCAUCGAAUGCUGCUCAUUCUCUCCAUGGCUGCUUAGAAGCUGCCAAAAGCAUCAAUGGUGGGCAGUCCAAUAAUGGAGAUGUUAGCCGUAGGAAGAUUACCUUGUCUAGAUAGCUGUAGAGACGGAGCUAUAUGCCCUGAAACCCAAUGUUGCAUGUUUAGUUAUGAGUAUUGGUACGAGAAGGAAGUAUCUCAUCUUGAUCCAACAAGGUAAUAGGAUUAAGACCCAAAGAUAUAGCCAUCGUUUGAGGUUCUCAAGAGCUCCAAUGUGUCUUUCCAUCCAGAGAGAUGAGGGGGUUAUUUGAUUCCAUCAGAUCAUCCGGCAGUUUCAAUCACUCACUCA
rnacentral:pre_miRNA from 1 species